UAAAAUGUAGCAUAUUUUAAUGCUUUUCAUUUACAUUGAAAGUAUGCUUAGACAUUAAGCCAUUUUAA
rnacentral:tRNA from 1 species